rnacentral:rRNA from 1 species
CCCAUAAACCGUAGCUCAGUUCAGAUCGUAGGCUGCAACUCGCCUACGUGAAGGAGGAAUCGCUAGUAAUCGCAGGUCAGCAUACUGCGGUGAAUACGUUCCCGGGCCUUGUACACACCGCCCGUCACACCAUGGAAGUUGGCCACGCCCGAAGCCGUUACUCCAACCCUUGUGGAGGAGGACGUCGAAGGUGGGGCUGAUGACUGGGGUGAAGUCGUAACAAGGUAGCCGUACCGGAAGGUGCGGCUGGAUCACCUCCUAA